CCCUAGUAUAUUUUUAAAUUAAGAUUAUUAUGGGGUAGAAAUUUAAGAUUUUUGGCGGUAGGUUAUAUAUUAGAGGAGCUUGUUAUUAGAAAUUACUCUAUAAAUUUUAUAAAUUUUUGUUUAUUUAUUUCCGUUAUAAGGUGGUAAACUUUAGAAGAUAUCUUCUUGUAUUUCAGGUCAAGAUGUAGCAAUAAUUAAAGUAAAAUUAGCUACAUUAAAGGGUUUUUGGAUUAAUUAAGGGAGGGAAAUAUGAAAAUGAAUUUGAUUGUAAUUUUGUCUAAAAUAAGAGGAUGAAAAUAUAAUAAUUUAUGUA
rnacentral:rRNA from 1 species